UGGCUCUCGCAUCGAUGAAGAACGCAGCGAAUUGCGAUAUGUUAAUGUGAAACGCAGAACAGUGAAUCAUCGAAACUUUGAACGCACCUUGCGCCCUCCGGUCUUCCGGAGAGCAUGCCUGUCUGAGUGUCGCUAAACAACCAUAGGCCGAAAGGUCUGAUUCGGAUGUGUGCCGUGGUCGGCUCCGUCUUAGAUCCAAUUAGAACGUGGCUCCUCGCCCGCCUUCUUGGAGGACAUUUGAUCGUAAACACUUUCAUGCGUCUCUCCUGGGGUGGUGAGCGUGCUCCCCGCCCGGCUGUCCUUGCGGCGCCGUGGCGUUUGGAAACUUUAGUGUCGUGGCCUCAGAUCAGGUAGGACUACCCGCUGA
rnacentral:misc_RNA from 1 species